AACGAACGCUGGCGGCAUGCCUAACACAUGCAAGUCGAACGAGACCUUCGGGUCUAGUGGCGCACGGGUGCGUAACGCGUGGGAACCUGCCCUUAGGUUCGGAAUAACUCCCCGAAAGGGGUGCUAAUACCGGAUAAUGUCUUCGGACCAAAGAUUUAUCGCCUUUGGAUGGGCCCGCGUUGGAUUAGCUAGUUGGUAGGGUAAAAGCCUACCAAGGCGACGAUCCAUAGCUGGUCUGAGAGGAUGAUCAGCCACACUGGGACUGAGACACGGCCCAGACUCCUACGGGAGGCAGCAGUGGAGAAUAUUGGACAAUGGGCGAAAGCCUGAUCCAGCAAGGCCGCGUGAGUGAUGAAGGCCUUAGGGUUGUAAAGCUCUUUUACCCGGGAUGAUAAUGACAGUACCGGGAGAAUAAGCUCCGGCUAACUCCGUG
rnacentral:rRNA from 1 species